rnacentral:misc_RNA from 1 species
AACUUUUAGCAACGUGUCACUUGGUUCUGGCAUCGAUUAAGAACGCAGCGAAAUGCGAUAAGUAAUGCGAAUUGCAGAAUUCAGUGAGUCAUCGAAUCUUUGAACGCACAUUGCGCCCCUUGGUAUUCCGAGGGGCAUGCCUGUUCGAGCGUCAUUAUAACCCUCAAGCCUCGCUUGGUAUUGGAACCGCGGGAUCGCGGCCCCUAAAAUCAGUGGCGGUGCCUAUAGGCUCUACGCGUAGUCAUCUUUCUCGCGACAGACCCCCUAUACGUGCUCGCCAAGAACCCCCCAUUCUUUCAGGUUGACCUCGGAUCAGGUAGGGAUACCCGCUGAACUUAAGCAUAUCAAUAAGCGGAGGCU